AGCGGCAAAAGCUCAAAUUUGAAAUCUGGCGCCUUCGGUGUCCGAGUUGUAAUUUGAAGAUUGUAACCUUGGGGUUGGCUCUUGUCUAUGUUUCUUGGAACAGGACGUCACAGAGGGUGAGAAUCCCGUGCGAUGAGAUGCCCAAUUCUAUGUAAGGUGCUUUCGAAGAGUCGAGUUGUUUGGGAAUGCAGCUCUAAGUGGGUGGUAAAUUCCAUCUAAAGCUAAAUAUUGGCGAGAGACCGAUAGCGAACAAGUACAGUGAUGGAAAGAUGAAAAGAACUUUGAAAAGAGAGUGAAAAAGUACGUGAAAUUGUUGAAAGGGAAGGGUUUGAGAUCAGACUCGAUAUUUUGUGAGCCUUGCCUUCGUGGCGGGGUGACCCGCAGCUUAUCGGGCCAGCAUCGGUUUGGGCGGUAGGAUAAUGGCGUAGGAAUGUGACUUUACUUCGGUGAAGUGUUAUAGCCUGCGUUGAUGCUGCCUGCCUAGACCGAGGACUGC
rnacentral:rRNA from 1 species